rnacentral:rRNA from 1 species
AGAGUUUGAUCAUGGCUCAGAACGAACGCUGGCGGCGCGUCUUAAGCAUGCAAGUCGAGCGGUAAGAGGGAGCAAUUCCUCCUAGAGCGGCGGACUGGUGAGUAACACGUGGGUGACCUACCCUUAGGUUGGGGAUAGCCAUUAGAAAUAGUGGGUAAUACCGAAUGUGGUUUCCGGGUUAUGACCUGGAAGAGAAAGGAGCUACGGCUCCGCCUGAGGAUGGGCCCGCGUCCCAUUAGCUAGUUGGGGGUGUAACGGACCACCAAGGCGAUGAUGGGUAGCCGGCCUGAGAGGGUGAACGGCCACACUGGGACUGAGAUACGGCCCAGACUCCUACGGGAGGCAGCAGCUAAGAAUAUUCCGCAAUGGACGAAAGUCUGACGGAGCGACGCCGCGUGGAUGAGGAAGGCCGAAAGGUUGUAAAGUCCUUUUGUCGACGAAGAAUAAGUGAGGGAGGGAAUGCCCUCAUGAUGACGUUAGUCGGCGAAUAAGCCCCGGCUAAUUACGUGCCAGCAGCCGCGGUAACACGUAAGGGGCGAGCGUUGUUCGGAAUUAUUGGGCGUAAAGGGUACGUAGGCGGUUUUGUAAGCCCGGCGUGAAAUACUGGAGCUCAACUCCAGAACUGCGUUGGGAACUGUGAGACUUGAGUCAUGGAAGGGGAGUUGGAAUUCCAGGUGUAGGGGUGAAAUCUGUAGAUAUCUGGAAGAACACCGGUGGCGAAGGCGAACUCCUGGCCAAUGACUGACGCUGAGGUACGAAAGUGCGGGGAGCAAACAGGAUUAGAUACCCUAGUAGUCC